CCUUACUUCCUGCCCGCUGCUCUGGCCUCCAGAACUGGGAGACGAUAAACUUCUGUUGUUUCACGUCGCCAAGCUGGUGAAAACAGCCAAGUCUUCGCCCCGGGUCUCGCUCUCUCAGCUCUGUCCUCUCCACUUCUCGGCUUUGUGACGGAUGGAGGUGUUGUGUCCGUUUUACAGAGGAGGAAACUGGAGCCCCCAGGACUGCUGGACUUGCUCAAGGUCACAGAGGAAGAAAAUGAUGGAGCAUGGAUUUGGACCCUGCAGACCAGCUCCAGGUAACUGGCUAGUGACCACAGCUUGGCCUGACUUGCCAAGGGCUAAAGUGCAGUGUCUGAGAGAGAACUGCAGGAAUUCUGGCUCAGGGGAGCCGAGAAGCCUGGGGAAGGGUGAGUUCCCCAUCUUUGAACAAGGUCAGAGCCACCGCCAGUUCCAAUUGCCCUUAAUCUGUCCAUCUGGAUUGGUAAAUUUUCACACAAAAAACGUUAACAGGGGCAUUCACGCACAUGCUUACCAGCCAGACCACCUCUUUCCAACACCCUAGUUUUGGCCUUAGUGAAAAAAGAAAAGAAAAGAAAAAAAGUUGCCAAAAGCACCUCAGAACAUCCAGAACGCUUUGCCCCUCCAGCAGGAAGACCUCCCAAGGCCUGGCCCUUCCUCCCUGUCACACUUGCCUUUGCUGCCAGCUCUUGAAAGGAUCUGAGCCUGAGAGCAUCUGGCGAGGGGGUCUUGAUCUGAAAGAGCCAAGAGAAAAAGUAGAACAAGAAAUACCAAAUGCUUUUCUUAACUGAUUUGCCUGCACUUCAUUUGUUGUUGCUUUAAUACAUUUUGGCUCUUUUAUUUCAAACGAGUGGUAGGUGGUGAAAACAAAGGUUUGAAAGUACUCACCUGUGCCAGGCAGCUGAGCAAACGAUGAGUUUAAUGAACCUCUCUUACUAUCUGACCUUCCCCCUCAACCUGCACCCACUUCACUGUCACAGGCACCAGGGAAAUGGAAGGACCUGUCAGCCACUCUAACUGGUGACAACCUACAUCUAUUUAUUCCUCAUCACCCAGCUACACUCACAGAACAAAACCUAAAGCCUUCAGUACCCAGAAGUUGAUUGGUUUGUUGCUGAGGCAUUUAUGAACACACUCUUUCCAUUUUCCCUUUGUUAUCUGUUCAUUAUCUUUUGUAAUCAAGGCCUGUUUUCAUGUGUAGGUACAAGUAGCUGAUAUUUGAAUGUACUUUGAGAUAAGCAUUUCAAAAGAUAUUGGCUACUAAAAAAAAUAAUUGGAACAA